AUGGGCUAUUGGAUCUAAGUUUGGGGACAGCCAGAUCCAUAAGGUUGAGGAUACCUUGACCUUGGUAAGGGUUUUUCAAAAAAAUCUGAUUUCAUAAGCCAGAUUUCCACUCUCUCUCUCUCUCAAACCCUUUUCCCCAAAUAUUGUUCUGUCUUCUCUCUAAAUUUCUCAUUCACUGAACCAAUCAAAUUUUAAUUUGAAAGUGUUUCCUUGCUCACUGCACGGAGGGCUUCAAUUUGAACCGGGCAUUCUUCCAUUCUGACCGGUACUGUUGUUUUUCUGUCCGGGUGAGAAUUUCUAAUAGGACGUCUUCAAAUUAGCUUACCGUGAAAACCCAAGAUGUGAGCAGAGGAGAAUGAGGUCUCUGUGGAUAACGUCUUGGAGGGCAAUGAAGAUGUUGAGGCUUAGAUCCUCUAGACCUUGUUCACUUGAGUAGAUUUGAGGGAGAGUAAUUGAGAGGAUUUGAUGAUAAUUUUUUUUAUUGUUUAUUUGAAUAAAUUUGAAAAUAAGUGAGAGUGAAUUUGGAAGUAAUUUUUUUUAA